rnacentral:tRNA from 1 species
GGUUGGUGGCUUAGUGGCAGAGCGCUUGCCUUGCACAUGUGACGCACUGGGUUCGAUCCUCAGCACCA